AUUCGGGCUGAUAACUAGGCGGCCGGUCUCAAAUAACCCACGACGUCUGCCUUUUAAGUGUCCGAUAUAUCAAUUCGCGAAGAUCUUACACGUUUCCAAAGCGCUGUUAUGGCUUUUUCAGUAUUUGACGACUUUUAAAUCUUCGCAACACGC
rnacentral:snoRNA from 1 species